GCCUACGGGGCGUAGCAGUAGGGAAUUUUCGUCAAUGGGCGCAAGCCUGAACGAGCAAUGCCGCGUGAACGAGGAAGGUCUUCGGAUCGUAAAGUUCUGUUGAAGGGGAAAAAGAGCGGAGAGAGGAAAUGCUUUCUGAUUGAUAUUACCCUUCGAGGAAGUCACGGCUAACUACGUGCCAGCAGCCGCGGUAAUACGUAGGUGGCGAGCGUUAUCCGGAAUGAUUGGGCGUAAAGGGUGCGUAGGCGGCCUGCUAAGUCUGGAGUGAAAGGCACCGGCUCAACCGGUACAGGCUCUGGAAACUG
rnacentral:rRNA from 1 species